rnacentral:lncRNA from 1 species
UUUUUUUCUGAUUUUGGUAUAAAUUACAGGAUCUAUAAUAGUCACAAUUAAUUCAUAUUGGGUACUCUGAAUUUGCAAACUGUGGGGUUCACAUCAAAUGAAAAGAACAGGUGAGAAUUUCUACAGCAACUAUUUAUUCCUAAAAAAUAAAAAAGAUGAAUAGGAACAGAAUCUAAGUGCCGAACAAGCCUUGCGCUGUGCCAAAUGGCUUCAACCUCAAUUUUUCGAAACAAGCCUCUGAUGAAACAGAAAUCUGACCUGUCGGCUGUUCAAUGCAAGUCGGGGCAGAGAGAUAGUUGACGGAGAUUGCGGAAAUGGCGGCAAUAGUGUUUGACGGCGAAGAUUUCUCCUGUUAAUAUGAACUGACCGAGCAACGAAGGAGAGAAGGUAGUCAGGUGAGAGAUGGAGGAACGAGGCA